rnacentral:rRNA from 1 species
GCUUACGGCCACACCGCCUGGUUCACGCCCUUGAUCUCGGAAGCUAACAUAGGUUGGGCCUGGUUAGUACUUGGAUGGGAGACCGCCUGGGAAUACCAGGUGCUGUAAGCU